UUGAUGUCACGGAACACGUUCUUUGAACCAAGCU
rnacentral:misc_RNA from 1 species